rnacentral:rRNA from 1 species
AUGAACGCUGGCGGCGUGCCUAAUACAUGCAAGUCGAGCGAACGGACGAGAAGCUUGCUUCUCUGAUGUUAGCGGCGGACGGGUGAGUAACACGUGGAUAACCUACCUAUAAGACUGGGAUAACUUCGGGAAACCGGAGCUAAUACCGGAUGAUAUUUUGAACCGCAUGGUUCAAAAGUGAAAGACGGUCUUGCUGUCACCUAUAGAUGGAUCCGCGCUGCAUUAGCUAGUUGGUAAGGUAACGGCUUACCAAGGCAACGAUGCAUAGCCGACCUGAGAGGGUGAUCGGCCACACUGGAACUGAGACACGGUCCAGACUCCUACGGGAGGCAGCAGUAGGGAAUCUUCCGCAAUGGGCGAAAGCCUGACGGAGCAACGCCGCGUGAGUGAUGAAGGUCUUCGGAUCGUAAAACUCUGUUAUUAGGGAAGAACAUAUGUGUAAGUAACUGUGCACAUCUUGACGGUACCUAAUCAGAAAGCCACGGCUAACUACGUG